rnacentral:tRNA from 1 species
GCGGGGGUAGCUCAACUGGUUAGAGCAUCCGCCUGUCACGCGGAAGGUUGCGGGUUCAAGUCCCGUCCCUCGCG